AGUGAACGCUGGCGGUAGGCCUAACACAUGCAAGUCGAACGGCAGCACAGUAAGAGCUUGCUCUUACGGGUGGCGAGUGGCGGACGGGUGAGGAAUACAUCGGAAUCUACUUUUUCGUGGGGGAUAACGUAGGGAAACUUACGCUAAUACCGCAUACGACCUACGGGUGAAGGCAGGGGAUCUUCGGACCUUGCGCGAUUGAAUGAGCCGAUGUCGGAUUAGCUAGUUGGCGGGGUAAAGGCCCACCAAGGCGACGAUCCGUAGCUGGUCUGAGAGGAUGAUCAGCAACACUGGAACUGAGACACGGUCCAGACCCCUACGGGAGGCAGCAGGGGGGAAUGUUGGACGAUGGGCGCAAGCCUGAUCCAGCCAUACCGCGUGGGUGACGAAGGCCUUCGGGUUGUAAAGCCCUUUUGUUGGGAAAGAAAAGCAGCAGGUUAAUACCCCGCUGUUCUGACGGUACCCAAAGAAUAAGCACCGGCUAACUUCGUG
rnacentral:rRNA from 1 species